UACAGAGGGUGCGAGCGUUGUUCGGAAUUAUUGGGCGUAAAGGGCGCGUAGGCGGCGCCACAAGUCACUUGUGAAAACUCUGGGCUCAACUCAGAGCCUGCAAGCGAAACUGUGGUGCUGGAGUAUGGGAGAGGCGAGUGGAAUUCCUGGUGUAGCGGUGGAAUGCGCAGAUAUCAGGAGGAACACCAAUGGCGAAGGCAGCUCGCUGGGACGGUACUGACACUCAUGCACGAAAGCGUGGGGAGCAAACAGG
rnacentral:rRNA from 1 species